AUACGUAGGUGACAAGCGUUAUCCGGAUUUACUGGGCGUAAAGGGCGUGUAAGCGGCCCAGUAAGUCUGGAGUGAAAGUCCUGUUUUUAAGAUGGGAAUUGCUUUGGAUACUGUCGGGCUUGAGUGCAGGAGAGGUAAGUGGAAUUCCCUGUGUAGCGGUGAAAUGCGUAGAGAUUGGGAGGAACACCAGUGGCGAAGGCGACUUACUGGACUGUAACUGACGCUGAGGCGCGAAAGUGUGGGGAGCAAACAGGAUUAGAUACCCUGGUAGUCCACACUGUAAACGAUGAAUGCUAGGUGUAGGGGGUAUCGACCCCUUCUGUGCCGCAGUCAACACAAUAAGCAUUCCGCCUGGGGAGUACGGCCGCAAGGUUGAAACUCAAAUGAAUUGACGGGG
rnacentral:rRNA from 1 species